UUUCAUGUUGCUUUUUCAUCUGAGAUGGGAACAAUGCCCCACAGGUUCCUUUGCAUCCCGUUGCUAUUUGUGAUUUUGGGCCUAGCCCAAGGACAACUUUCAGGACUACAGCCUGAUAACAGCUUGAGUGAAAAUGGAAAUAGAGUCAUUAGAAAAUCAUCGUAUUUACCUAUGAGCCCCACGAUAAAUAUGAAGGAGAAAAUUAAAGGAAAAAUACCUCCGCUUGGUGGAGUGCACGUGAAACCGGAAAAGAUGCCCUGGCACAGCAGCACACACAAGAGAGGAAUGGGUCAAAACAUGGAUUUAGGCGUAUAUUGGCAUCGGUUUCCAUUUGACCGGAAAUACAACUACAAGUACUUGAUUAAGGAGAAAUAAGAGCAGGGGGAGGAACUGACCCAUAAUGAAUGUACCUGAAAUCGACUGGACUGGAGGUGCUGAGAUAUCAUCAGAAUGCAACAUUUUACAAGUUUUAAUUCUGCAUGUUUAUAUAAUCAAAAAACUCUUCCUUGAUUAAAUGCCAAUAAAUUGUUCUACUUCUA